ensembl:lncRNA
CAUUAGUUCUGCCUAGGGAAUUGGGAAAGCAUUCAUAAAGGAAAUGAGCUUUGAUCUGGGCUUUGAAUGAUGAGUGGAAUCUUACCAGAUGGAAAAAGAUGAGAAAUAGAUUCCAGGCAGUGAGCACAGCACAUGACAAGGCAUGAAGACAUCAAAGAGGCCCCGGAGAGUCUAUGGAAUGGAUGAACACCAAGAAAUUCUAGGGCCUAGGAUCAAAUUUGGAGUCUAAAAUGACAGCCCAGGCAGGAGAUAGAUGCAGCAUAUUCCACUGAUGGGUCCUUGUGGAAAAUAUCUUCUUCUGAAAAGAGCAUCUUGAGAAGAGACAAUUUCACCUUCUGCUGGAAGUUGAUUGCCUCCAUGUGACGCUUGGAGUUGCCACGCUACCAUUUUGCUAUGCUAAGAGGAGCUCAUCUGUGAACAAAGCCUAUAUUCAACAAGGAACCUGAUUUCUUGGUGAUGCUAUGGAACAACUGAUUUACCUAAACCUUUGAGAUUUUUCCCUACUGAGUUCACUGUUGUGUGGAGAACCCUUGGGUCCCCUAAAGAAGGAGUUGCAAAUUUGUUUGUUGAGCUCAGAGGAAUGGUGUGGGCCAUGCUGGUUGUCUGGAAAGGUCACUGCAUCAGAAGUGUGGGCUUGGCCAUCUUCCUUUCUGUCUUAUUGCACCAAUGAGCUUCCAAAGCACCGAAGAACUCAGCUCUUCAGCUCCAAAGUUAGACUGAAAAGACUGACUCAGAGGUGUAGUGAACCCCAAGGUGAGUUUCAGCCAGUCAGAGAUUGCACUGUUGUGAUCCUGGAAUCUCUUGAAAAUAAUACGUAUUUUAAUUUUUUUACACGUCCUUGUUCCUUGUAUUCACAGUUUCCUAUGAAGAAAGGAAGAAAUGAUUAAGCCAAAAUAGGGGUCGGCCUUUGCUCAUCGAAUUGUUGACUAAUUUCACAGUAAAGUACCCAAAAUCUUAAUUAACAUUUGGACUUUUUAAUAUUCAACAAGUAUUUAAUAAGUACCUAGUAUCACCAGGAACUAAUUUAGGCUGUCAGUGGCCUUCUGUGUUUUGUUUAAAUAGAGGCUUUUAUGUUGAGAAAGUAAGCUGGUGAUGCACUUAGGAUCCAUUUCACGCAUCACCAUUCAGAGUUGUCAUUUGUUGCUGGACCAUCCAUCAGCAAGGCGAAGUCUAGGUUCUAAAUUAGAUUGUUAACUGCUUAUGAUUACAGAAUUUUUGAAAUCACUGCACCAGAUAAAGUACUAUGAUCCCACCCAUCCAUAAGGUCAGAGAUUAAGAAACUUUAAGUAAAAGGACUACACCUGGCUCCACCUGUACCAGCAUUGUUACCCACAUGCUGGUUCCCAGGGAUCCAGGCACAUCAAGAGCUCCACAUCAGUUCUUAUGUUCGUCACCCCAGUGACUGACAGGGUUGACAUAAUUUGAGUAGGCACCAAUGUUGACAGUGCCCCUGCACUGAAAAUUUGGGUAGAAUCCCUUAUCGUGACCAUGUAUCCUUCAUGAGGACAUGUGUAGAUUGGCUUUGUGUGUGUGUAAGAGCUUCCUAACAAUGUGAAUGACAGUCUCCUUUUGCAAUUUCAGAAUAAAAGUUUUCCAUUUAUGAAACUCAAAAUGUUCAUUUUAUGGCAAUAAAUUCAUUAGAGAAACUCUAAAAUACAUCAGGAAUAUUUGGUUAUUAAAGGAUAUACUGUUUUUUUUUUUAAUU